AAAGGGAGCUUCUAUGGUGCAUUCCAGCUUUGGAAUGUAUGGGUGCAUUCCAAAAUUUUAACCAAUAGAAUUCAAUUUAAUUGCCACAUCAACUAAGGUCCAUGUUAAAUAAUGGAUGGUAAUAUAUCCACUCUGAUCCCAGUUAAGGAAUCCUGUGUUUAAGAGGUUUGAACUGGAAAACAGACAAUGUAGAAGAGCUUGAAGGGUUACAUGAAUAUGCAUUCAACAUGGUGAUUAGACUUGAAGUCAAAAAUGUUAAGAAGGAGAAUGUGAUUCAUAUCAAUUAUACAUAGACAUAGAACUAAGAGUCUCAGAAUACUGCUCACUGACUUGUGUAGAGUUGAUUUGCUGAUGUUUGUGUUUGGAUGUUGGACGGUUUGUGUGUUUAGUUGAGUGUGGAGUAAUGGUACUUAGGGUAGCUUAGGUUAAUUGAAAGGUUUUGGAGGGUUUGAUGUGCUUUGGUCUUGGAAGUUGCAUCUAGUCUAUACUUUAGUUGUAAUUAUUAGCAUGUUGGCUAGAAGGCCAAGCAUCAACUAAUAUUUGGUGUGCUCAAUGUUUCUCAAUGUUUUUUUUUUUGUUUUUUUAUGACAAUGUGUAUUUCCUCAAUGUUUUGGAAAUGCAGAAACGAACCAAAUAUAAACAAUGUAAA